CCUGCUCCUAGAGGCAUUGCUGGUGCAACUGAUGUGUCAUAUGUGCAUCCAUAAGUGGCAGAGAGGAGAGAGGUUAUGUCUAUGCUCAGUGUUCUUGUCUAUGAACAUCUGAAUGAUUAGUGGCCUAAUGUU